rnacentral:rRNA from 1 species
GUGCCAGCCGCCGCGGUAAUACGAAGGGUGCAAGCGUUACUCGGAAUUACUGGGCGUAAAGCGUGCGUAGGUGGUUCGUUAAGUCCGAUGUGAAAGCCCUGGGCUCAACCUGGGAAUGGCAUGGGAUACUGGCGGGCUAGAGUGCGGUAGAGGGUGGCGGAAUUCCCGGUGUAGCAGUGAAAUGCGUAGAUAUCGGGAGGAACAUCUGUGGCGAAGGCGGCCACCUGGACCAGCACUGACACUGAGGCACGAAAGCGUGGGGAGCAAACAGGAUUAGAUACCCUCGUAGUCC